GGAUCCAUUUAAAGAAUGAAUAUUGAGUUCUUUAUGAUCCUCUAAAAUAACUAAUGCAAUUUGGACUUAUUUUAUUCUCAAAGAUCUUUAUUGAUUUAGGGUCUUGGUAACUAGUGUCCGGGAACGAGAACACUAAUACUUAGACUUUUAUACGAUUUUUAAGAAACACUUUCUAAAUAUAAAUCUUUUAACAAGUGCUCCUUUAACAGUAUUUAGCAUUUGCCAUUGAUUUAUUACAAUUACAAUAAUAGCACGCAACUCCAGAUAAGAAAGAAAAAUUGGCCUGAGUUUGCCAAAUCACUUUAUUUUCUUCUCAUUCUCAUUUGGUAUAUGCUUUUGAUCUUUCUAGUGGCUUUCUCAUCUAUAAUCUCAUAAAUUCUCUUGUAUUUCUUCCUCCACCAAUCCAUCCAUUUCUUGUGAUGGGACCAAAGUGCACACAUCACUUUGUGGCAGUUUGGCCAAGCCCAACAGAAUCACACACACCUCUUUUACUUUUCUUCUUUCUUUCUUUUUUAUUAUUAUUUUUUCUUUUAUUUUGUGUGUAGUUUCCACUUAAGGAGAAAUUCAUCAAAUAUAUUGAUCUUUUGAAGUAGAAAUUCAACCAAUAUAUUGAUCUUUUAAUCUUGUCCUUGUUUUUUAUAUAAGUUGCAGGAAGUGUCAUACCGGCCAAUAUACCUAUA
rnacentral:lncRNA from 1 species